GACGAACGCUGGCGGCGUGCUUAACACAUGCAAGUCGAACGAUGAAGCCGCUUCGGUGGUGGAUUAGUGGCGAACGGGUGAGUAACACGUGGGCAAUCUGCCCUUCACUCUGGGACAAGCCCUGGAAACGGGGUCUAAUACCGGAUAACACUCUGUCCCGCAUGGGACGGGGUUGAAAGCUCCGGCGGUGAAGGAUGAGCCCGCGGCCUAUCAGCUUGUUGGUGGGGUAAUGGCCUACCAAGGCGACGACGGGUAGCCGGCCUGAGAGGGCGACCGGCCACACUGGGACUGAGACACGGCCCAGACUCCUACGGGAGGCAGCAGUGGGGAAUAUUGCACAAUGGGCGAAAGCCUGAUGCAGCGACGCCGCGUGAGGGAUGACGGCCUUCGGGUUGUAAACCUCUUUCAGCAGGGAAGAAGCGAAAGUGACGGUACCUGCAGAAGAAGCGCCGGCUAACUACGUGCCAGCAGCCGCGGUAAUACGUAGGGCGCAAGCGUUGUCCGGAAUUAUUGGGCGUAAAGAGCUCGUAGGCGGCUUGUCACGUCGGGUGUGAAAGCCCGGGGCUUAACCCCGGGUCUGCAUUCGAUACGGGCUAGCUAGAGUGUGGUAGGGGAGAUCGGAAUUCCCUGGUGUAGCGGUGAAAUGCGCAGAUAUCAGGAGGAACACCGGUGGCGAAGGCGGAUCUCUGGGCCAUUACUGACGCUGA
rnacentral:rRNA from 1 species